rnacentral:piRNA from 1 species
UGACAGGCUUUCAGUGCUACCGCUCC